UAUGCCGCAAGGUGAAAUACGAAAGUGCCUAAAGACGAGCUCGCGCCUGAUUAGCUAGUUGGUGGGGUAAAGGCCUACCAAGGCGACGAUCAGUAGCUGGUUUGAGAGAAUGAUCAGCCACACCGGAACUGAGACACGGUCCAGACUCCUGCGGGAGGCAGCAGUGCGGAAUUUUCCGCAAUGGGCGAAAGCCUGACGGAGCAAUACCGCGUGAGGGAUUAAGGCCUGUGGGUUGUAAACCUCUUUUCUCAAGGAAGAAUCAAUGACGGUACUUGAGGAAUAAGCAUCGGCUAACUCCGUGCCAGCAGCCGCGGUAAUACGGGGGAUGCAAGCGUUAUCCGGAAUUAUUGGGCGUAAAGCGUCUGUAGGUUGUUUAAUAAGUCUGUUGUUAAAGACUGGGGCUUAACCCCAGGAAAGCAAUAGAAACUGUUAGGCUAGAGUGUGGUAGAGGUAGAGGGAAUUCCUAGUGUAGCGGUGAAAUGCGUAGAUAUUAGGAAGAACACCGGUGGCGAAAGCGCUCUGCUGGGCCAUAACUGACACUCAGAGACGAAAGCUAGGGUAGCAAAUGGGAUUAGAUACCCCAGUAGUCCUAGCCGUAAACGAUGGAUACUAGAUGUUGCGUAACUCGAUUAUGCAGUGUUGUAGCUAACGCGUUAAGUAUCCCGCCUGGGGAGUACACUCGCAAGGGUGAAACUCAAAGGAAUUGACGGGGGCCCGCACAAGCGGUGGAGCAUGUGGUUUAAUUUGAUGCAACGCGAAGAACCUUACCAAGGCUUGACAUGUCACG
rnacentral:rRNA from 1 species